AUUGAACGCUGGCGGCAUGCCUUACACAUGCAAGUCGAACGGCAGCACGGGAGCAAUCCUGGUGGCGAGUGGCGAACGGGUGAGUAAUGUAUCGGAACGUGCCCAGUCGUGGGGGAUAACGUAGCGAAAGCUACGCUAAUACCGCAUACGAUCUGUGGAUGAAAGCGGGGGACCGUAAGGCCUCGCGCGAUUGGAGCGGCCGAUAUCAGAUUAGGUAGUUGGUGGGGUAAAGGCCUACCAAGCCGACGAUCUGUAGCUGGUCUGAGAGGACGACCAGCCACACUGGGACUGAGACACGGCCCAGACUCCUACGGGAGGCAGCAGUGGGGAAUUUUGGACAAUGGGCGCAAGCCUGAUCCAGCAAUGCCGCGUGCAGGAUGAAGGCCUUCGGGUUGUAAACUGCUUUUGUACGGAGCGAAAAGGCUCUCUCUAAUACAGGGGGCUCAUGACGGUACCGUAAGAAUAAGCACCGGCUAACUACGUGCCAGCCGCCGCGGUAAAAC
rnacentral:rRNA from 1 species